UCCACCCUGCCCUACCUCAUGUAGCCCCACAGUCAUCGGUCUCUUCCCUCUCUGUGUCUCACUGUCCUCAUGCUGAUGUUCGGUGGGCACAGCAUUUGCUUUCAGGGAUGUUUGGACUCUUCAGGAUUAGGGGAUGGCUGUUGUAAAGCAUGGUACUGACUGCCCAGAGGUGAAGGUUUUUCUCAAUGCCUGCUGUUUUGGGGCAGGGAUGGCUGUUUUUUGAAAGAAGCAGAGGUGAUGCUGCUCCUCCAGGACGUACAUUGCUGCUGCCAUGGGCAGGCAGCCUCUUUCUGUACAAUAUAAAUCUGCCAGUGCUUGCACAUGCUGUCAGCUGGGAUGUUGUGCAUCCUUAUGCAUCAG